GGAAGCAAUGUGAACUCAACACAACUAGCCACCACACUUUUCACUUUUUUUCACAAAUUUGGUGCGGGAAAUCUGUUUGCAGUCGUCGCCUGUUUAGCCUACUACACAUCCAGUUUAUUCGGAGUCGUGUUUGUGGCCGUCAGAUGAAUGCUAAACUAGUCAUUUGGAACAUCCGAGAGGGUCUCCUGCCGUCCGCUUUAACUCAUCUGACAGCAUCCUGCUGGCUUUUGAAAAGGGCACGAAUUCAGCGGACGCUAAUAAUCCCCGAAUGGACGUCCCCCUCUCUGACUGCAGCUCCACCAUUUCUCCCACUGCAUGAUGAACUGGUGACCACUCUGGAG